rnacentral:rRNA from 1 species
AGAGUUUGAUCCUGGCUCAGAAUCAACGCUGGCGGCGCGCCUAACACAUGCAAGUCGAACGAGAAAGCCCGCAAGGGUGAGUAAAGUGGCGUACGGGUGAGUAACACGUGGAUAAUCUACCCUCUAGUGGGGAAUACCGUUGGGAAACCGACGACAAUACCGCAUAAGCUCGAGAGAGGAAAGCAGCAAUGCGCUGGAGGAGGAGUCCGCGGCUGAUUAGCUAGUUGGUGAGGUAAUGGCUCACCAAGGCUUAGAUCAGUAGCCGGCCUGAGAGGGCACACGGCCACACUGGCACUGAAACACGGGCCAGACUCCUACGGGAGGCAGCAGUGGGGAAUCUUGCACAAUGGGGGAAACCCUGAUGCAGCGACGCCGCGUGAGCGAUGAAGCCCUUCGGGGUGUAAAGCUCUUUCGGCAGGGAAGAUAAUGACGGUACCUGCA